GAAUUCCAGGUGUAGCGGUGAAAUGCGUAGAGAUCUGGAGGAAUACCGAUGGCGAAGGCAGCCUUCUGGCCUAAUACUGACACUGAGGUGCGAAAGCAUGGGGAGCAAACAGGAUUAGAUACCCUGGUAGUCCAUGCCGUAAACGAUGUCUACUAGCCGUUGGGCCCUUUGAGGGCUUAGUGGCGCAGCUAACGCGAUAAGUAGACCGCCUGGGGAGUACGGUCGCAAGACUAAAACUCAAAUGAAUUGACGGGGGCCCGCACAAGCGGUGGAGCAUGUGGUUUAAUUCGAUGCAACGCGAAGAACCUUACCUGGCCUUGACAUAGUAGAAACUUUCUAGAGAUAGAUUGGUGCCUUCGGGAAUCUACAUACAGGUGCUGCAUGGCUGUCGUCAGCUCGUGUCGUGAGAUGUUGGGUUAAGUCCCGCAACGAGCGCAACCCUUUUCCUUAUUUGCCAGCACUUCGGGUGGGAACUUUAAGGAUACUGCCAGUGACAAACUGGAGGAAGGCGGGGACGACGUCAAGUCAUCAUGGCCCUUACGGCCAGGGCUACAC
rnacentral:rRNA from 1 species